rnacentral:lncRNA from 1 species
CAGCCUCACCUGGCACGGCAGGUGACCAAGACAAUGUAGACACAACUCACUGGACAGGCAGGUGACCAGAUGAUGUAGACACAGCCCUCACCUGGACAGGCAGGUGACCAAGACGAUGUAAACACCGCCUCACCUGGACAGCAGGUGACCAAGACGAUGUAGACACAGCCUCACAUGGACAGGCAGGUGACCAAGACAUGUAGACACAGCCCUCACUUGGACAGGCAGGGUGACCAAGACGAUGUAAGACACAGCUUCACUGGACAGGAGGUGACAAGACAAUGUAGACACAGCCUCACUUGAUGCAGGUGACGAAGACGAUGUAGACACAGCCUCACUUGGACAGGCAGCGUGACACCAAGACGAUGUAGACACAGCCUCACCUGGGACAGGGCAGGGUACCAAGACGAUGUAGACACAGCCUCACUUGGACAGGCAGGUGACCAAAGACGAUGUAAGACACAGUCUCACCUGGACAGGCAGGUGACCCAAGACGAUGUAGACACAGCCUCACCUGGACAGGCAGGUGACCAAGACGAUGUAGACACAGCCUCACCUGGACAGGCAGGUGACCAAGACGAUGUAAACACAGCCUCACCUGGACAGGCAGGUGACCAAGAUGAUGUAGACACAGCCUCACUUGGACAGGCAGGUGACAAGACGAUGUAGACCACAGCCUCACCUGGACGGCAGGUGACCAAGACGAUGUAGAACACAACCUCACCUGGACAGGCUGGUGACCAAGACGAUGUAAAACCCAGCCCCUGGACAGGCAGGU